rnacentral:lncRNA from 1 species
CCUGGAAUUGUGACCAAACUUGUAUUGAGGUCCAAAGUCCUCAAGACUUCAAGCUGAUGGUGUAACCUCGCAUGGGCCAAUUAUUCAGGCCCAAGAAUUCUGGAGUACAAAGGACCAAUGGCUUUGCAACUGGUUUUUCCAGAUAUCUUUCAUACUUCAUCACAGAAAUGGCAAUAAUAACAUAAGUAUCAAUACAUGAUUAUCUGAAUUCCAAAUUACGGCAAUCGCACAAUUUAUAUAUUCAGAGGCAUUCGUACAGUUAACAUAAAUGAAGGCUGUCCCAAAUUGAUUUUAAAACGUUUCAGGCAUAGCCAUAAAUUGCUACCAAAUUGAUUUUGGUAAAUUUAACAUUACUGGAAACAAUCACUAUUACAGGCCCAAAUCCAAAUAAAUUAUCAUACAACUUGUCAAUUUACAGAAAAAUCUCAAAAUCUAGGCUAGUCAACUAGGAUUAAUUGUUAUACAAAUAACCACUUCAUGCUUGUUUAGUACUCCAGAUCUAUUCAAAAUUGAUUGAACUCAUGACUUGAGGCUAAUACUUUCCUAAUCUCAAAUCGACCUGGAAAUUUCAAACUUCAAAUCCUAUUUCAAGUAGACAAACAAUACUCACAUUUUAACACAUCCAAACACACGAGUCUAUAUCACAAUUAUGCAGCAGGAUAAUUUAUUGAAAUAACAAUUUUACUACUCGAAAUCAUAAGUCACACCUUCGUAGCAAGUAAACAGACUUCAAAAAACUCAAUAAAAGAAGAAUAGGAGAUGGAUUCAACAUAUAAAAUAGUAGCACGUCUAGAUUUCAUGGAGAAAACAAAGUAAGUAAGUCAUUUCUGCCAAAAACAGUACUCAGGUUCAUAAACAAGUACUUGAUUGCGCAGUAGUCACUUUAGAACUGCCAAAUAAAUGCCAAAGAAAAAGAGAGUGAAGCUCAACUAACAGCAGACUGAAUAACAGCAGAAAACAACAGCUUCUUCUACUCAAACAGCUUUCCAAGAUCUAGAAAAUAUACUGCAGUCAAAUGAAAUUAGAAACAACUUCAGAAUAUAUUUUUUUUUAUUUGUUUUGUUUUCGGGAAUUUUGGUUUUUUCAGAUCUGUAUUUCAAAUUUCAGGCUGUUUCUAAAAUGUGAGAGUGAGUGUGGAGUUUUCUCAAUGACCUAAUACAUAUGAGAGAGGUACUGUUUUAUAGAAGCCUUCUAGGCUUCUUUCAGAUUUUUCCUUUUCUUUUAGAUCCCUCUUCUUUCCUGUUUUUACUCAUUAAAUCCCUCACAUCUGACCCAUUUUUUACUUUUUCUUUGCUAAUAAGUCCUUUUACCCUCUUCUAGAAGCUCCUGGGUAGUUAUUAAAAUUAUUCCCUAAGUUAAAACCCUAAACUACCCUUCCAGCCCCUGUUUUUUAACAUUUUCUUUUAGUAUUAGGCCUCGCCCGGAGGCCAAGAGGCACAAAAUCAAGGUCUAGCCCACCAAUUUUUUCUCAACUCACCCCCGAAUCUAGCGAGUCUGCCAAGACCAGGUCUAAUUCCAAACAAAUCCCAAGCGGCCAAACAAAUUAGAUGUCCAAAUUCAAAAUUGAAAACUAAAAACUCCUGUGAUUGUAAUGAAUUAUGGCGACGAUCAAUAGAACUCCGGCGAGAAAAAGGGAUUGUCACAUGAGCACUAGCCGACAAAUUUUUAUGCGAGCCAGUGCUAUAUGUAAUAAUGCUCAUUACAAGCCGAAUUAAAGAAGAAAAGAUGGAGUUCAGGGAAGUUUGACCGGUCAAUGGAGGUCAACGAUGUUCUGGCCGCCGAAAAAUGGUAAACAAACUUCCUCAAAUGAAAGGUCUUUCCAAGACGUAUCAAUUGAUGUAAAAUUUGGGUAAUAAAGAGGCAGGAUUGAUGGUGAUUUAGCAAAGGGGCCAAAAAAAAUGGAAUUUCUAUUCCUAGAUCUUCUAAUCAGCAAGAUUGAGAGGUUUUUUUGGGGGGGAGGGGGGGAUGAUACUGGAUUAGGGGUGAGGAGGUGGUGAGGAGUAUUUGUUGAUGUUUUGGGGUUGGUUAGUGGUGGUCCAUCGUGGCGAUUUUCGGGCGGCGGAAGACGGCAGAGUAAGGUGGCUGAUUUGAGAUAAUGAGAGAAUUGGGGGCGGCUAAGUUUUGGCAUAGUGGGAGUGUUUGGAUUAUGAGACAAAACAAGGGGGUUUGGUUGUUUAAGUGAAUGGAGGAAGAGGAAACGACGUAGUUCAUGUGUGAAACUAUGUCGUUUGAAAGGCCUGGUGGGGGAAGCUUGUUGGACCGGGUAGCAGGGUUGGACUGGACGGAUUUCGAGGGAAUUUGGGCCUCUGGAGCUGGCCCAAUUUGGGGCAUGAAGCAAACAGACCUUCUUAUUUUUAUUUGAUUUUCAAAAUUAGCCAAGUGAAAUCUAAUUGAGACUAUUUUGCAGAUUUGACCUACCAAACUAAUUAAAAUUGUGUAUUAAUUAAUAAACCUAAAAAUACAGAAAAUAGGAGUAAUUAAAAGUAUUUUUUGAUUUUCAUAUUUUAGAGAUGAAAGGGCAAAAGAUAAGAUAUUUUUUGUCACAUUCAUGAUUUGAAAUGCUACUAAAUAUACUAAAAAUGCAAAUCAAUGCCAAACAAAAUAAAAUAAAAUAGAGAAAAAUUCUUAAAAUUUCAUAAAGGCAAUUAAAACUAUUUUAGAGUAUUUUUAGGAGUAUUUUAGGCAUGGAACAAACAUUACGUGCUCACACAAUAUAUCUCCUUAUACAACUAAAUCCAGUAGUUUAAUAUAUAUAGUGACUAAUAUAUACUUUAUUUUAUUAUUAUAGUCUAUUAAACUACGUUUUUCUCUGCUAUCUGCCCACCGAUAUUUCUAGUGCCCGCUUGCAGAGUUCCUGAUAUUCUGAUAAGCUUAUCUUGGGAAUUUCCACAAAGGGAAACUUCUUCAAUGAAAUGAAGAUCAAUCUCUGAUUUGAAAUUUUAGAAAUAUAAGCAAUUAUGACCUCAAGAGUUUCAUUUCACUGAAUGAUUAACUUUAAGCUUUCUGCAAUAGCUUUUACCCAUUAGAAAUCUUUAAUUAUUAGUUAAAUUCCUAUUACUAUUGUUAUAUCGUAAAUUUCACAUCAAGAUCAACAUAAUAUCAUUUGGAGAAUUGGUACAUAUGGUAAGAACACAAUCCUAAUGUUGAUCAAUCAAGCACAUUUGUUUAUCAUAUCGCCAAAUCACCCUCUCAUUCAUAGGAUGAAAUAAAAUCUUAGCACAUUUUUUAAGCAUUGUUGAUUCUAAAACACAGUCAUGGGAGGCAUGUACGAAAUAUAAGAAAUGUAGAGUACUUUUUGUUGGUUAAUGGUCGUCAUGUAUAAUGUUUUUGAACCUUUUGAUGUAGUCCAGCUUAAAAUACUUAACGAUUUUGCUCUUUUGCGAUGGAAUUGUUUCUAUCAUUCCGAUGUUCUUUUUAUAAUUAAUUGGUACGUUAGGAUCUCGUUUGAAUUUUAGUGUUUAGAUCGUUUACUCCUUUGUCAAAAAGUCGCGAAUGAAACAGAGAAAAUAUCCUAUGCCCAAUUACAAUUAGAAGAAAAUAUAAUGAUCAUAAAAAUAUCUUUUGAAUGUAUUGAUUUUUGCUCAUGUCAAAUCGCAUAAUCACUUUAUUUAGAACGCAUUUAUGUUGAAUCAUUAUUUUAUUGUAAGAGAAUCAUUUCGAUCUUGCAGGUAUUCUGGAGUUUAGAUAUAUCAACAAAAGGGUUUGAGCAGUCAAAGAGGAUCGAUCCAUCCCAGUCCAACUCUUAUUUUGAAGGAUCUAUAUACAAAUAGCCGG